CCUACGGGUGUCAGCAGUGGGGAAUAUUGGACAAUGGGCGAAAGCCUGAUCCAGCCAUGCCGCGUGUGUGAAGAAGGCCUUCGGGUUGUAAAGCACUUUCAGUGGGGAAGAAAGCCUUGGGGCUAAUACCCUCGAGGAAGGACAUCACCCACAGAAGAAGCACCGGCUAACUCCGUGCCAGCAGCCGCGGUAAUACGGAGGGUGCGAGCGUUAAUCGGAAUUACUGGGCGUAAAGCGCGCGUAGGCGGUCUGAUAAGCCGGUUGUGAAAGCCCCGGGCUCAACCUGGGAACGGCAUCCGGAACUGUCAGGCUAGAGUGCAGGAGAGGAAGGUAGAAUUCCCGGUGUAGGAGUGAAAUGCGUAGAGAUCGGGAGGAAUACCAGUGGCGAAGGCGGCCUUCUGGACUGACACUGACGCUGAGGUGCGAAAGCGUGGGUAGCAAACAGGAUUAGAUACCCCUGUAGUC
rnacentral:rRNA from 1 species